rnacentral:lncRNA from 10 species
CCUGCAUGUAAUUGGACAGGGGACUUUCGCAGGAUGUCAGUUCCAGGAGGGCAAGGAUGAUCACCUGUUUUGUUCACCACUAUAUCCUCAGUGCCUACAAUAUAUCUGGGAAAUAACCGUAUUCAAUAAAUACUGAAGGAAUGAAGUUUCCAAUGAUCAGCACAGUGCAAGAAGAUGAAUUUAGCACCAGUUUUGGUGUCAAGCUUGGUCUCAAAUCCAGUCUUCACCACUUACCAGUUGUGUGACCUUGGGCAAAUGAUCUAACCUUUCUGACACCUACGUGCUUCAUAUACAAGAUGGGGACAAGGUUUUCAAGUGCCGUGCCUGAAACACAGGUGCUUGAUAAAUGGCCUUUGUUAUCAUCACCAUUGUUGUCAUUAUCAUCACCAUAACCAUCAUCACCAGCACCAUCAUCACCACUGUCAUCACCAUCACCAUAACAAUCAUCGUCACCAGCACCAUCAUCACCAUUGUCAUUAUCAUCAGCAUAGUUAAUAAUCAUUAUUACCAGUACCAUCAUUGCCAUUGUCAUCAUCACCAUCAUAACAAUUAUCACCAGCACCAUCAUCGCCAUUGUCAUCAUCAUCACCAUAGUUAAUAAUCAUGAUCACCAGUACCAUCAUCACCAUUGUCAUCAUCAUCAUAAUCGUCAUCACCAGCACCAUCAUCGAAAUUGUCAUCAUCACCAUAGUUAAUCAUCAUCAUCAUUAGCACCAUCAUCGCCAUUGUCAUCAUCACCACUAUAAUUAAUAAUCAUUACCAUCACCAUCAUCACCAUUGUCAUCAUCAUCAUCAUCUUCAUCAUUAUUCCAUCCACAUUACCGUCUCCACAUCAUGCUCACCAUCAUCAUCUAACCUACUCCUAGGACAGAAUCUUGUCACCUCUGCCUUAGGGACAAGUGAUAAAGGACCCUAGACAGCUCCUAAUCUUAUCUUGACCUCUCUCCACUAAUGGUAGUGAGUCCUUCUCUCCUUGAUUCAUUCAAGUUAAUGUGGAUGGAGAAAAUUAUGGGCCAAAGGAAAUCUCAUUCAUUCAUCUAUUCAUUCAUUUAACAUCUAUGGAAGCCUACCAUGCUCCAAGCACAAUGCUGAAUGUUAGGAAUCAGGAGAUGAAUAAGAUUUGGCCCCCAACAUCAUGCAAUGUACACGAUGAAAAGCAGUUUUGAUACCAUAUAGCGAAUGCUGAGAGAGAGAGGUUAAAAAGAAGGCAGUGGGAGCAUAGGAAGGCCUCCCAGCCAGACUAAGUGGGAGUGAAGGUGGGUACAGCCUACCAAUGAGGGGCAUAAACUUCACAAUCCAGGUGAAGGAGUGUAGGAAGGAUACUAUGGAAGCUGCAAGUGCAAAGGCCCAGAGGCUGUAGCUGUGGGCUAGAUCAAGCAGAAGACCUUAGCUACUGAAUGACCUGAUCAGAUUUGCAUUUUAGAGGAAGUCUCUCUGGAUGCAUUGCAGGACAGCAUUGGAGAAGGCAGGGAGACCAUCUCAGAGGCUGCUGCAGUGGUUCAGGUGAGGAAUAAUGAGGCCUGAACCAAGGCAGUGGUGGUGGGAUGGGGAGAACAGAGAUUGCAAAGGGAUUUAGAAAGUGGCAUCCACAGGACGUGGUGAUGGAUUACAUGUGAGAGUAGAAGAAUCAAGAACAACCUUGAGGUUUCUGACUUUGAUACUGAGUGGAUGGUGGUACUUUCAGUGAAGGCAGGACAUAAGGAGCAGCAGAUUGUUGGGACCAAAUCAAAGAUGCUGAGGUCUGUCGUGGACAUGUGGCAAUGUCCACAUGUGGACAAUGUGGGACUGCAAAGAACAUUGAGAGGAAAGCUCCCCCAACCACUGGCUCUUGGCCUGGAGUUCUCAGAGAGAAGAGAAAGCUGGUCACCCAUUAAGGAUCUGAGACUGGGGUGGUCCCUGGGGGCAGUGUCUGAAAAUAAUCUCUUUUGCAAAGAGCCCAUUUACCCUUGAAGAAAGCUUUCAUAGUGCUUUCCCCAAGUGAUUUGUUUUUCCAAAGGCCACUUUAGAAGGCCGGCUAGUUUUUUUAAGAACUCAUUUUGAAUUUAAUUAUGUAUUGGCAGGAAUCAAAGAUGCAAAUGUAAUGAGAUUAAUUGAGUGUCCCUUUUAGAUAAGAAAAUUUCUGCUGUUGUUGAGUUCACUGCUUUGAAAUACCUGCUAGUGGAAAGGCUUUAGGUUUAAAGUAUGCAUGUUGGUUGUGUCAAAUGCAAUUCAAGAAUGUGAAAUUGAUUGGUUCCCUCUGUAGCCUCAGAUUUAGUGUCAGUUCUUAAGUCAUAAGAAUUAAAGAACCAUGAACUCACCCUUCUGCCCUGGUUAAAACAGAGCAGAGCCUUCUAUUCUCAUGUGGACUGGACAGGUUUCCCAGCCUUAUCCAUCCACUGCACCAUUUUUGGAAGGGGAAUGUGUUGAGGUGUGUUAUGUGUUUGUGUAAAUGUAUGGCUCUAAGCCUUUUAACACCUCCAUUGAGGGUCUCAGAUUAGAAAUUAGGGCUGCAGCAAAAGAGAUGGUUUGGAUGUUUUAUCUAUGUAAACCAUUAGUUUACCAAUUCCACAGCAAGUGGAGUGAGACUGCAAGUUUCUCUGCUCCUCCCUGUAAAAGUCACCAUGAAAUAGAUGCACAAGUGCUGGCCUGAAUUCUAGUGUGGAUGAGGGAUGUGCAGAACUAGCUGGAGGAGUCUUUCAGCAAAGUGGAAAUGCCUGCCGUGCUCACAGGCUCAUGUAAAGAAAAUGGCCUAGGCUGGAUUUCUCUUACAAGGUAUUGCUCGAAGGGCUUUGAAGUAAAAUCAAGCUGGCAUCCUGAAGAACAGCCUGAGUUAGAGGGAGGUCACAAGCUUGGAACUACAUUGAUGAAACUUCAAGCAACACGCAUGUUCAAUAUUGGAUGGAGGCAAAAAUGACCCAAUUGGACAUUCCUUGUGGGAACUAUAAAUGUUAACGGUAGAAAAAGAAGGUGAUUCAUGCUUCUAUGAAGUGGCAGCAUAACCUAGCAGGGGAGGCACCAGGACUCAGGGGGGCUGAGUUGUUGAUGCUCCCAUAUCCCCAAAUUUCCUCAUUUAAGUGGCACCACUCACAGAGUAUACCUCAAAUGAGAAGGACAAGGAUUGAGGAAGGAGCUUUGGAAGACCGAAUUUCUGGCAGGGGACAUAGACUCAAAUGUCAUGGGGCUGGAACGUGCAGUGCAAUGCAAGAAGCAUAGCAGCCAUCUUGUGACCAUCAGUUUUAAUGUGUCAAGGAUGAGGGAGUCAGAAAAUAGAAGAAGCCUUGUCCCUGACACUGUGGAGUUGCUAUGUCAGGCAUUGACUUCCUGUCCCACCUCACAUAGUGUGUGAGAUCAACUCUUGGAGUAAGCCACCUGCUAUAGUUUGGUUAGUUCGACUUUCUUUAAAUGUCAUGUUGAAAUUUGUUCCCCAGUGUUAGAGUGGGGCCUAAUAGGAGGUGUUUGGGUCAUAGAGGUGGAUCCCUCAUGAAUGUUUUGAUGCUGUCACCAAGGUAACGAGUGAGUUCUCACUCUAUUAGUUUCUGCAAGAGCUGGUUGUUAAAAAGAGCCUGGCAGCCGCUGCUCCUCUCUCUUGUUCCCCUCUCACACAUGAUUGCUGCACACACCAGCUCCCCCUUCACCUUCCACCAUGAGUAGAAGCAGCUCGAACCUUUCAUCAGAUGCCCAACUUACAACCAGCAGAGUUGUGAACCAAAUAAAGCUUUAUUGUUUAUAAAUUACCCAGCCUCAGGUAUUCCUUUGUAGCAACACAAACAGACAAAGACAUCACCAUUAGCAGAUUCUUAAUUACUUGUAGUUGAACUCUGUCUUAACUGACACAGGGUUGAUGAACUGCAUUUGCCUCAGUGCCACAGGGUAAG